rnacentral:rRNA from 1 species
UACGUAGGUGGCAAGCGUUGUCCGGAAUUAUUGGGCGUAAAGCGCGCGCAGGCGGCUAUGUAAGUCUGAUGUUAAAGCCCGAGGCUCAACCUCGGUUCGCAUUGGAAACUGUGUAGCUUGAGUGCAGAAGAGGAAAGCGGUAUUCCACGUGUAGCGGUGAAAUGCGUAGAGAUGUGGAGGAACACCAGUGGCGAAGGCGGCUUUCUGGUCUGUAACUGACGCUGAGGCGCGAAAGCGUGGGGAGCAAACGGG